UACGUAGGGGGCUAGCGUUGUCCGGAAUCAUUGGGCGUAAAGAGCGUGUAGGCGGUCCGGUAAGUCCGCUGUGAAAGUCGGGGGCUCAACCCUCGAAUGCCGGUGGAUACUGUCGGGCUAGAGUACGGAAGAGGCGAGUGGAAUUCCUGGUGUAGCGGUGAAAUGCGCAGAUAUCAGGAGGAACACCAGUGGCGAAGGCGGCUCACUGGCCCGAUACUGACGCUGAGGCACGAAAGCGUGGGGAGCAAACAGG
rnacentral:rRNA from 1 species